rnacentral:lncRNA from 1 species
GGUGUUCCUGCACACGUGGAGGUGGGCUGUGGGCCUGCCCUUGGCCCUGUGGGACUCACCUUCAUCCAGCUCACAGCCCACCACUUGAGAAAUCAGCAGACCCCACAAACACCCCCUCCCACCAGGAAAUGAUCCCUCUCCUAAGUCUCUGCACCCACAGCUAGGCACAUGGGAACAACAGCAGCCUCUGAGCAAAGAUUUCCUAUCACAACCAG